rnacentral:pre_miRNA from 1 species
GUAUGCAGUGCCCUACCCAGACAGGUGCAGUUCAUGUAGAAUUGGUAUACUGUGCCACAGCAGGGUAAAGUAAAGCUCA